rnacentral:tRNA from 1 species
GCCGGUGUGCUCAGUGGUUAGAGUGUUGGCCCAUGCACCAAAGGGUCAUGGGUUCAAUUCCCAGUCAAGGGCA